rnacentral:rRNA from 1 species
UACAGAGGAUGCAAGCGUUAUCCGGAAUUAUUGGGCGUAAAGGGUGCGUAGGCGGCUUCUUAAGUCUGGUGUGAAAUCUCCCGGCUCAACUGGGAGGGUGCGCCGGAUACUGAGGGGCUAGAGUGUGGGAGAGGAAAGUGGAAUUCCUGGUGUAGCGGUGAAAUGCGUAGAUAUCAGGAGGAACACCGGUGGUGUAAACGGCUUUCUGGACCAUAACUGACGCUGAGGCACGAAAGCGUGGGUAGCAAACAGG